rnacentral:rRNA from 1 species
UAUGGAGCUUUAAGACACUAAGCCAUAUCAAGUUAAACACCCCCAAACAAGGGACUAAACUUAUUGAAAUCAUUGGCCGUAUGUCUUCGGUUGGGGCGACCAUGGGGAAACAAAAAACCCCCACGUGGAAUGGGAGCACAACUACUCCUACAGUCAAGAGCCACCACUCUAACAAACAGAAUUUCUGACCAAUAACUGAUCCGGCAACGCCGAUCAACGGACCAAGUUACCCUA